rnacentral:rRNA from 1 species
UACGUAGGGGGCUAGCGUUGCUCGGAAUUACUGGGCGUAAAGCGCACGUAGGCGGCUUGUUAAGUCAGGGGUGAAAUCCUGGAGCUCAACUCCAGAACUGCCUUUGAUACUGGCGAGCUUGAGUUCGGGAGAGGUGAGUGGAACUGCGAGUGUAGAGGUGAAAUUCGUAGAUAUUCGCAAGAACACCAGUGGCGAAGGCGGCUCACUGGCCCGAUACUGACGCUGAGGUGCGAAAGCGUGGGGAGCAAACAGG